UACAGAGGGUGCAAGCGUUGUUCGGAAUUACUGGGCGUAAAGCGCGUGUAGGUGGUGGCAUAAGUCGGAUGUGAAAUCCCUCGGCUUAACCGGGGAAGUGCAUCCGAUACUGCGUCACUUGAGUACUGGAGGGGAUGGCGGAAUUCCCGGUGUAGAGGUGAAAUUCGUAGAUAUCGGGAGGAACACCUGUGGCGAAGGCGGCCAUCUGGACAGUCACUGACACUGAGACGCGAAAGCGUGGGUAGCAAACAGG
rnacentral:rRNA from 1 species